GGGUUGUGAGGUUAAGCGACUAAGCGUACACGGUGGAUGCCCUGGCAGUCAGAGGCGAUGAAGGGCGUGCUAAUCUGCGAUAAGCGCCGGUAAGGUGAUAUGAACCGUUAUAACCGGCGAUACCCGAAUGGGGAAACCCAGUGUGAUUCGUCACACUAUCAUUAACUGAAUCCAUAGGUUAAUGAGGCGAACCGGGGGAACUGAAACAUCUAAGUACCCCGAGGAAAAGAAAUCAACCGAGAUUCCCCCAGUAGCGGCGAGCGAACGGGAGGAGCCCAGAGCCUGAAUCAGCAUGUGUUUAGUGGAAGCGUCUGGAAAGGCGCGCGAUACAGGGUGACAGCCCCGUACACAAAAGCGCAUGUGCUGUGAGCUCGAUGAGUAGGGCGGGACACGUGGUAUCCUGUCUGAAUAUGGGGGGACCAUCCUCCAAGGCUAAAUACUCCUGACUGACCGAUAGUGAACCAGUACCGUGAGGGAAAGGCGAAAAGAACCCCGGCGAGGGGAGUGAAAAAGAACCUGAAACCGUGUACGUACAAGCAGUGGGAGCACCCUUCGGGGUGUGACUGCGUACCUUUGUAUAAUGGGUCAGCGACUUAUAUUCUGUAGCAAGGUUAACCGUAUAGGGGAGCCGCAGGGAAACCGAGUCUUAAUUGGGCGUUAAGUUGCAGGGUAUAGACCCGAAACCCGGUGAUCUAGCCAUGGGCAGGUUGAAGGUUGGGUAACACUAACUGGAGGACCGAACCGACUAAUGUUGAAAAAUUAGCGGAUGACCUGUGGCUGGGGGUGAAAGGCCAAUCAAACCGGGAGAUAGCUGGUUCUCCCCGAAAGCUAUUUAGGUAGCGCCUCGUGAAUUCAUCUCCGGGGGUAGAGCACUGUUUCGGCUAGGGGCCAUCCCGGCUUACCAACCCGAUGCAAACUGCGAAUACCGGAGAAUGUUAUCACGGGAGACACACGGCGGGUGCUAACGUCCGUCGUGAAGAGGGAAACAACCCAGACCGCCAGCUAAGGUCCCAAAGUCAUGGUUAAGUGGGAAACGAUGUGGGAAGGCCCAGACAGCCGGAUGUUGGCUUAGAAGCAGCCAUCAUUUAAAGAAAGCGUAAUAGCUCACUGGUCGAGUCGGCCUGCGCGGAAGAUGUAACGGGGCUAAACCAUGCACCGAAGCUGCGGCAGCGACGCUUAUGCGUUGUUGGGUAGGGGAGCGUUCUGUAAGCCUGCGAAGGUGGCCUGUGAGGGUUGCUGGAGGUAUCAGAAGUGCGAAUGCUGACAUAAGUAACGAUAAAGCGGGUGAAAAGCCCGCUCGCCGGAAGACCAAGGGUUCCUGUCCAACGUUAAUCGGGGCAGGGUGAGUCGACCCCUAAGGCGAGGCCGAAAGGCGUAGUCGAUGGGAAACGGGUUAAUAUUCCCGUACUUGGUGUUACUGCGAAGGGGGGACGGAGAAGGCUAUGUUGGCCGGGCGACGGUUGUCCCGGUUUAAGCGUGUAGGUGUGUGUUCCGGUAAAUCCGGUUCACUUUAACACUGAGGCGUGACGACGAGGCACUACGGUGCUGAAGCAACAAAUGCCCUGCUUCCGGAAAGCCUCUAAGCAUCAGGUAACAUCAAAUCGUACCCCAAACCGACACAGGUGGUCAGGUAGAGAAUACCAAGGCGCUUGAGAGAACUCGGGUGAAGGAACUAGGCAAAAUGGUGCCGUAACUUCGGGAGAAGGCACGCUGACACGUAGGUGAAGUGAUUUACUCAUGGAGCUGAAGUCAGUCGAAGAUACCAGCUGGCUGCAACUGUUUAUUAAAAACACAGCACUGUGCAAACACGAAAGUGGACGUAUACGGUGUGACGCCUGCCCGGUGCCGGAAGGUUAAUUGAUGGGGUCAGCGCAAGCGAAGCUCCUGAUCGAAGCCCCGGUAAACGGCGGCCGUAACUAUAACGGUCCUAAGGUAGCGAAAUUCCUUGUCGGGUAAGUUCCGACCUGCACGAAUGGCGUAAUGAUGGCCAGGCUGUCUCCACCCGAGACUCAGUGAAAUUGAACUCGCUGUGAAGAUGCAGUGUACCCGCGGCAAGACGGAAAGACCCCGUGAACCUUUACUAUAGCUUGACACUGAACAUUGAGCCUUGAUGUGUAGGAUAGGUGGGAGGCUUUGAAGCGUGGACGCCAGUCUGCGUGGAGCCGACCUUGAAAUACCACCCUUUAAUGUUUGAUGUUCUAACGUGGACCCGUAAUCCGGGUUGCGGACAGUGUCUGGUGGGUAGUUUGACUGGGGCGGUCUCCUCCUAAAGAGUAACGGAGGAGCACGAAGGUUGGCUAAUCCUCGGUCGGACAUCAGGAGGUUAGUGCAAUGGCAUAAGCCAGCUUGACUGCGAGCGUGACGGCGCGAGCAGGUGCGAAAGCAGGUCAUAGUGAUCCGGUGGUUCUGAAUGGAAGGGCCAUCGCUCAACGGAUAAAAGGUACUCCGGGGAUAACAGGCUGAUACCGCCCAAGAGUUCAUAUCGACGGCGGUGUUUGGCACCUCGAUGUCGGCUCAUCACAUCCUCGGGCUGAAGUAGGUCCCAAGGGUAUGGCUGUUCGCCAUUUAAAGUGGUACGCGAGCUGGGUUUAGAACGUCGUGAGACAGUUCGGUCCCUAUCUGCCGUGGGCGCUGGAGAACUGAGGGGGGCUGCUCCUAGUACGAGAGGACCGGAGUGGACGCAUCACUGGUGUUCGGGUUGUCAUGCCAAUGGCACUGCCCGGUAGCUAAAUGCGGAAGAGAUAAGUGCUGAAAGCAUCUAAGCACGAAACUUGCCCCGAGAUGAGUUCUCCCUGAGACUUAAAGUCUCCUGAAGGAACGUUGAAGACGACGACGUUGAUAGGCCGGGUGUGUAAGCGCAGCGAUGCGUUGAGCUAACCGGUACUAAUGAACCGUGAGGCUUAACCUUACAACGCCGAAG
rnacentral:rRNA from 1 species